CACGGAGGAUGCGAGCGUUAUCCGGAUUUAUUGGGUUUAAAGGGUGCGCAGGCGGAUUUUUAAGUCAGCGGUCAAAUCGUGGGGCUCAACCCCAUCCAGCCGUUGAAACUGGGGAUCUAGAGUGUGCGAGAGGUAUGCGGAAUGCGUGGUGUAGCGGUGAAAUGCAUAGAUAUCACGCAGAACCCCGAUUGCGAAGGCAGCAUACCGGUGCACAACUGACGCUCAGGCACGAAAGCGUGGGUAUCGAACAGG
rnacentral:rRNA from 1 species